GUGAACCAGAGAGAGGAGGGCAAACAGAAGGAGUACAGGCGAUCAGAACAAGGAGAUAACACCUGUAAGCUCAGGCAGUGGAGAGAGACUCCCUUUAACUCUCUCUCUCUUCUCUCUCUCCCCCAGCUGGCUGCGGUGAGGAUGGGAGGAAGGGGGCGUGGCCUGGCCUGGCCCCUCCUCUCCCCUGACAUGCUGCUGGCUGAACAACACAGACACAACACCACCACUCGCAGGAGGCUCUGAGCUGGGAGGACUCCACACUCCAGGUCUUAUAGGCGCCCUGUACGUACUGUUAACAAACGGCUGUUAACAAACUGAGCUCUGCUGGAGCACUCCCACCUCCGUCCACACCAACGCCUCCCUCGCUUAUAUUCCACUUCAGAGAAAGUCAGAGACACUCGGCAAGAAAAACCACAUGCUUUGGCCCGGCACACUCCCUAAGAAGUUUCAGAAGGAGCGUUCCGGUCCCGUGUUCUGAGGAGCGACCCGGCCCCCCAGUGACCCCCCCGCCCGGCAGCAUGGAGGCCCGCGAGCAGACCCUCAGCCUGCUGAACACGCUGUGGUCCAAGCUAGAGGGGCUGCCCAACGCCGACCCCCUGGAGCUGGGGGCCUUCUUCAUCAUCCUGGCCUUCAUCUUGCUCGUGGUCCUCAUGGUGGUCCUGGCCUCUCUGUCCUGCUGCUGCUGCUGCUGCAAGCCCAAGGGGGCCCGGAUCUGAGCCCCCAGCCGGACUACAGCGACCCGGGACCGGUCUACAACCGGGACCGGUCUACAGCGACCCGGGACCGGUCUACAGCGACCCGGGACCGGUCUACACCCGGGACCGGUCUACAGCGACCCGGGACCGGUCUACAGUGACCCGGGACCGGUGUACAGGAGGCAACACAUUCUGAGGACUAACCCCACGGCUCGAUAGAGAGAGGACAAACUCCCCUCCCCCCUCUCUCUCCCUCUCUCUCUCUCUCCACCUCUGUCUCUCUCUCCCUCUCUCUCCCCCCCUCUCUCCGAGUAAGGAUCCUCAGAAUGGGAGCUGAUCUGAGAGGGGUCAAACAGCAGGACUUUGUGAGGCUGCUGGGUGAUCUAAAGCUAAACAUGGAGGCCGUAGACCGAGGUGUUCACUGCGGCGGCAGCAGUCAGCACGGCCCAGUGAGAGGGUAAACAGUGCGUUAGACCAGCCCUUUAUCAACACGGCCACAGCUGGCAGAUACUGACAAGGAUAUCCUGAAACACGUCCAAAUAGAAACACACCAUCACACACACACACACACAUAAUAUCACAUACACACUUUCAGGAACAUCCACAUUCCGACAAUUCAGAUGUCCAAUAAUGCUGCCGUUGACCUGAAUAAGGGGCGGGUCUCUUUGGUAAUGAGCUUGUGUGCGUGUGCGCGUGUGUGCGUGUGCGUGCGUGUCAUGCAAUGCCCUGGGCUUAGCUGGAAGCUUGAUUCUAAAUGAGGAUGAGUCAUAAUCAAAAAGUCUUCUCUAAAAACUCACUAGAGAUGUAAACAACCCAAAAUCUUGGGAGUUGAUGUUAGUUUUGCUAACCAAACAAAAGCUCUAAUGUUCAACUCUGCCCUCUGCCGUUUGUAAAUGAUAUUCAAAUAAUGUUUAGAGCGAGGCCUAUGAAAGUCUUUAUAGUCUUAGUAUUGAUCCAUUUCAUCAUGCAUGUUUGGUUGUGUGUGCGUUUGUACCUUAUGUAAAAACUAAUAAAAAGGGAUCUGAACUCAAA